UACGUAGGUGGCAAGCGUUGUCCGGAUUUACUGGGCGUAAAGAGCGCGCAGGCGGUCGUUCAAGUCGCGUGUGAAAGCCCCCGGCUCAACUGGGGAGGGUCACGCGAUACUGAUCGACUCGAAGGCAGGAGAGGGUAGUGGAAUUCCCAGUGUAGAGGUGAAAUUCGUAGAUAUUGGGAAGAACACCGGUGGCGAAGGCGGCCAUCUGGACCGCAACUGACGCUGAGGCGCGAAAGCGUGGGGAGCAAACAGG
rnacentral:rRNA from 1 species